ensembl:lncRNA
UGCCUCCCGCAGCCACCGGCCAGCGCUGCCACUCUCCUAACAAUGAUGUCAUUAAAGCACAGGUUUACGUGUUCAGCAGGUGGCUGGCUCGCUCAGCCUGGGUCCCAAGCUUUGCAACACUUUGCAACUGGCUGAAAUAUCAACCCAUAAAUCAGCCUUCUAACUUAGUGAGCAUCCUGGAACUGUUCUACAAGGUUGCUGAUACUCAAGGCAAAACUGUUAUGCAAGACAAAAUGCUGGGGACUCCUACCUACAGGAGCUUACGGACAGCAAGCAGCUCGGCAGGCCACUGCUCCACACCCCUCCCAGCCCCAAUUCCCUCAUGGAUCACCCAGAAGAAAACACUUGUAUCUGCUCACCUGGAGAGAGGAGGUCAGCACAUCAUGGGGUGUCACUGCAAAACCAGCCGGGGGAUUCCUGGCUUAAAUUCACAGAAGCUCUGUCUUGCUUUUCGUUUUGCUGGUAUCUGUAAAGUUAUUAAUGAUCAAUAGUCAAACCAGAGUAGGUAAACACAUGAAGACAUCUCAUGCCAUUGAUCUUUAGGCAGGACACCCCUCUGAAAUCAAUGGAGAGCUUUGCUUCAAAACCAACGGCCCAAUAAGGACCACAUUUCUUAAACAGAAGGGAGCCACAAAUCCAAUAUGAGUUAUCUACCAGCUCUGUCACCCAAACUUUGUUCCUAUCUUCUCAAUUCCCUUCUCCUGCACUACAACCCAAGCAGUUGCCAUUGACUUCUCAUCAAAAGUUAAGUCCUAUUUUCUAUUGCUGCUCCUUAAAGAGAAUGAGGCAAUUGUUUUUAUCUGGCGUUCAGAAAUACAAACUCAAGGUUCAGGUUGUUCUGCCUUUUGGCUUAGGGCUGAUCUGUUGGACAGUCAGCCAGCAUGAGUGGCAGAUCAAUUCAUUCCAUUUUGGAAACUUUUUCCUCUUGAAUUUUAAAGGCUUUAGUUUGGUAAUGGUUGUAUUAAGCCAGUAUUUGUAAUUGAAAUAAGAAACUGAAAUACAAAAUGCAUCAACCGGCUCAACUACGUUUAACUCUCAAUGCCAACACUUUAAACUGCAAAGGCUAUCCCGACUCAUAAAGCCCCCUCAGCUACCCAGCAGCUUAGGGAUCAGGUGCAGAUUUCACUCUGGAGCUCAUCCAAAGCCUCUGGAAGUCAGUUGGUAGCUUUUCUUGACCUGGCAGAUGCCAGAGAGCUGCUCCAAGGCUCUUCCCUGGGUUACCUUCAGCACACAGCACUGCCUUUCCCUGGCUGCUUUCCUUCUUCUGCCGCCUGUGAUGACAGCUUUCUUCAUGUCUGCAUUACCAUUCGCGUUUUUGGCUUCAUUCACAGCACCCUAAUCCCUUCUUACUAUUAUUUUUUUUUUCAAACUUCCCGAUUAGCCACAAAGUUGGAGCCCCAUUUCUCACUGCAGCAUCAUCUCUGCUGCUGAGGCUGCCAGCUCCUGCAACCCAUUGCAAACACCUUGCUGAUAUUCAGCUUUGCAACAGAUGCUUGUAAUGGUGGGAGCAGACCUCUGAGUGCAACACCAACAGUUAGACUUACACAAUUUCAGAAGAGGUGGCAUUCAUCCUCCUAGUGGAUGCUUGCACUGUGCAGGGAAGAGACAGGUAAAUCAACAUUAGCACCAGCACUGAGCUCAGCCACCAGCUACAGAAAUAUUUUGGCAUGUAAAAGUAGAAAGAAGGAAGGGAAUUAAGAACGUUCAUCUCCUUAGCUGUUAUCCAGCUUUGUCAGGUUGGAGGCUGAGCCUCAGGUGAGUUCAUUCUCCACCUGAACUCCUCAUCAUGCUCACGGGCUGCACCUGGAGGCAGAGACAGAAAGGGGGGAAGGAACUGACCUGGAGCCUUGUCCUGCUGGAGCCCCUCCACCACAUCUCCAUAGCCGUGUCUCCAUGCCAGCUGGGUUCAGUUGGCUCAGGUGUGCUCGCUCAUGUUAGACCUGUAUUUCCUUUCCUGGGAAUGAAUUCUGUGACAGCUGCUUUUGGGAUCCAUCUAAGCUCAGUGCUGAAGGCAAUCUGCUCCAUCCCUUCCUCUCCUGGAGAAGCAGAGAGCAGCUUUCAUCUCCAAAAUACAGAAAGCACUGGAGCAGCUCCCUCCCCUGUGCUCCCUCCUUCCUCUGAGUGGAGCUGGUAGCCUUAAGGGAAAGAAAAACCAGGAAACCACAGGCUGGAGUCUCAGGUGCGGCCAAAGGAAGGUGGUGGAAACGUUCCAGCCAGGAAAUAAAUCCAGCCAAGCCAUAAAAUGCUGCACUCAGACACUUUUCCUGACACUACUGUGGGCUUCUGCACUUUAUCCAUGCUGCCAGCCUUGCCACAUAUAAAAUUGAGGCAAGUGACCACCGGCAUAAAAGUGAGUUAUGCUUUGCUGCGGUGCAGCUUAGGUGUCAAGCACUCCAGCACCACAAGGAGAAACAGGGCCUGUCCUGACUGAAUUGAUUUCAACCAGUAAACUGCUGUCCUUAUAUCCACAGCCACUACGUGGGGAAAGGAGCCCAAGGGACCUCCUGCAGAGACAGCCCUGGACAGCUCUGCCCCAACAGCAGAGCCAUGCCCAGAACUGGUGGCUUUGCUGCGUCUCAGAUUUCUGGUGGGUUUGGGAGCUGGGUGACUGCAGCCAUGCUGACCCUGGGCCUUCUCAUUGCACUCUAUUGCUUAGCUCAGGUUUUCUUUUUGGAGAAGAGGGGGCUCAAGGGAGACCUCAUUGCCCUGUACAGCUCCCUGAGAGGAGGUUGUGACGUGGUGGGGGUCGGGCUCUGCUCCCAGGUAACAGUGAUAGGGUGAGAGGUGUUGGCCUCAAUUUGCAACAGGGGAGAAUCAGGUUGAGUAACAAGAGCAAUUUCUUCUCAGAAAGAGUGGUGAUGCAGUGGCACAGGCUGCCUGGGGAAGUGCUCCAGAACUGUGGGGAUGUGGCAGUGAGGGACGUGGUCAGUGGGCACUGUGGGGUGGGUUAGGGUUGGGCCUGGGGAUCUUGGAGGUUUUCUCCAAGGAUUCUGUGAUUCUUCCUGACUUCACACCAAGUCUAGGGGUGUACCGUAGGAUGCAAAAGGAAGCUCUGCCCAAUCUAUCCUGGCUUCUGUGAUUUACGGAUGGAAAAGGGUUUCCUCAUCAUUCCCAAAUGCCCUCAGCCAUCCAAGGGAACCUACCCCAGCACUGUCAGUGAACCUCUGGAAAACCAGAAGGGUUCUGCAAAAAUGCCAAGUCCCUCUCAACAAUAAAUAAAUAAAUACAUACAUAAUCGCCUCUCCAGGGUUCAGGUGGUAAAGGCACCCAUCAUGGACAUCUCUCCAGAUCCAUGCUCACAGCACACCUCCCCUCUUUACUCUGCAGCUGCAGCAGAGAUGAGAACCCGGCUGGAGCACAGCGAUGACCUUACAGAAGCCAAAUCAAGCACCGUUUCUCAGCUAUGUUUCACCAGCAGACCUUUCCAAAUAACUGAUACAUCUUCGACCACUUCUUGUAUACACCUGGAGCUGCUCGGAAAUAAGCUCUCGCUGCUUUUUGCUACAGACACAUCAUCACUUCAGAACAUCAAAAUAAAGCACCCAAAGCUUCAGAAACACUUAUUGCAAAUAAUCUCAGGCAGCUUCACUGCCAGAAGAAAGGCGGCGUGAUGUUUAUCAGAAAACUGAGUUGAUAUGGAGGACCUUUAGCAUCUCCAGAUGAAAGCAAUCACUGCACAAACGCAGCGAGCCCUCAGAGGAAGGUAUUUGCCUUCCCCAAAGCUCAGCCCUGGCUCGGCGUGCCCCAGCAAUGCAAACCUGAGAGCAGCCCAUUCACCAGCUCUACAAUGAGUUCUUUUUCUGUUGAGGUUUUCCAUUUUUGCCUCAUUGCAGGAAGGAAUUUGGGAUUGCUCAGUGAAAGAGCCAUGCCUGCUCCAUCGGGUCCUGCGGAGACUUAGCGAGAAAGAGAGGAGCUUCUUAUAACCAGAGGAAUUUAGGAAGCGAAGGCUGGUUUUGGCAAUGCUGAGGCUGCUGCUCUGCCGUGGGCUCCAGGAAGCAGCACAUCCCAUGUGUUGGUAUGAAGCUUCAAAAAUAAGCAGCCCUCACAGGUGGAUGAAACCCAGACAUCCUCCCACAGCCAUCACGAGAAUAACACCGCCUUUUCCCCAGAACCAGAUGUUCCCCAUGCAGAAAGGUGUCAGAUUUUGUAACAGCUCUGUCGGGCUUUACAGACCUAUCACAGCCUUUGGUCAGAGGAAAAGCAGAGCAAACAGGGGAUAUAAGGUAAGAAACCGGAGGAAAAAUGUAAAAGUGUCACUCUCCACCCUCAGCUGCAGAAAUGAGUUUGGAUGAGCAGCGAUGGCUGCACCACCCCUGGCUGCAAACAGGACCGGUAUCAGGGAAUGGUGUUCCACAUCAGCUAUCGGGUAAUGGCUUUGAAACCUUAAACAGGGAAUACAUUUCCAGCUAUUAGCACGCUGUGGUCAUGGUCUGCAUUUGAAGGUGAAAGCAGUUUGUAAGGAGGGAAAGAAAACAUUAAUUCUAUUCAUCUUGAAAGUUACUUUAACUUUUCAAAAUGCUAUGGUAAAUUUUCAAACUUUAAAAUUAGUUUCAAGAUGAAUAGAAUUAAUGAGUGAAUUAGAGCUGGUACUGAAUUGCAAUAAAUAAUAUUCAAAACCUUUUAAUAAGCUUUGAAAUGAUGAAAAUGAAUGGAUUUUUUUUUCUUCUGUUAUAAAACCGGAGCUCUUUUAAGUAUAAAUUGUGAUAACGACUCCAGAAUUUCCAGCGCCAGGUUUUUCCAUUACAUCUCAGCUUCUGCAGGUUGAUCUAAGGCUUAAAGAAUAACAUUCAGCCUCGCUUUGCCAUGACGAGGUGUGGGACACCGAAAGCAGUUCUCGCAGAGGAGGCAGCUGAGGCCCAUGGACACAGAAAGACAUUUUUGCACUGAGUCCCCUCGUGCAGCCUCCGUCUGAGGGCGGUGAGCUGUGAGCUAUUUUCUAGGAUGGGUUCCAUCACUGCUGGAGUGGCUGCAGCUGUCCUGAGUGGCUCCCCAAAGCCUUGCUUUAAGUUCUGCCCGAGCAAUCUGUAAGUUUGUUAUUCCUGCUGUUGGAAAAAGAAAAAAACCAACUUGACAUCAAGAAAGCUCUGUAGCAAAACGUCUUCUGUUUGUUCAGCCCUUCUCUGCGUGCCCUGGGGAGAGGCUUUGCUCCUUGGUGUUUCCAGCCCACUUCAGCUGCACUCAGCCCCUGCCAUGGCCAGCCCAGGGGCACCUCGGAGAUCGUCCAUCCUCCUGUCCCUCUGUGUCCUUCAGUCCUGCUUCUCCUGGCAGCUCCAUACCCCCACCACGCCGCAGUUUCAGCCCGUCUCUGCCCUGCUCCCUGUGCCAGCACAGCUUGGUGCGAUGAAGCAGCUCUGUAAUGAGCUUCUCAGGAUGCUGAGAUCCAUCUCCAAGAUCCAUCAUAUCUCCACAGCUUUUUUCCCCCUCCUGCAAGCAGCCACAUGCUCCAGCCCAGGUCACCACUUUCUGCUUGGUCCAUCAUUUCUCCAAUAGAACAAAACACCACCUCACCCUUUGGUAUCUCAGCUCUGCUUCCUCCAGCCCAGAUCCGUGGACACAGUCUGAGCAGCACUUUCUUUCUCCUUCAGCUUUCCAGGAGAGCCCACAACCCGCUCAGUUCUGCAUAGAAACACCUCACCAAACAAACUGCAGCCAGGGAAGGGCCGAGCAGACCUCCAUGUGCAUUUAUUUCUCCAGCCUGGACAGCUCGUAAUCGCAGACAAACUGUUUGUCCUUGACUCCUGUCUCAGCAAAGGAAGACUGAACUUCCCGCAACGCGAUCCGUAUCAGAUCGGAUUUGAUAUAUUUCAUAACAGCCUUUUAUUCUCCUGUCUUUGUUCAUUUAUUCUUCAAUCUGACACUUUGCUAGAUGUGCCGCUGUCUUUCCUUUUAUUCACCUGUCAUUAUCUCCCGCUCACACGUUGUAAUGCUCACCUUCCUUAUGUGUAUUAAAAACAAAGGGCUCUUGCCCUGUGCCGUUUCACUGUGGAUUUUCUCUGUUUCACUGAAAUAACAACAGAGUAUUGUGUUUGCCAAUCCCCCGGGCUGUCAGAGAUACGAAUGGUGGCUGUGGGCAGCCCCUGCCUGCCCCAGAGCAUCAGAGCUCUGCGCAGCCACCAAGUGAUGCUCCGUGGGCUUUGGAAAAGCUCUAUGCGGAGGGGUAGAGCUGCAGAGCAUCACGAGCCUCCAGGUGCCACACAUAGAUGUCUACCAGCUCCCCAGCACUAAAUUCACUGUGUUAGCCCAUGGUAAAGGCAGCCAUAGGGGGUGCAGGUGGGUUCCCCCUAUACACCAGCAGGGCCAGACCUGCUGCCCCUCCUGCACAGGGAAAGGGAUUUGGAAUAUGCAGCCCAGCAGAGCGCUCCCAGCUUUGCCUCCAAGCAGGCAGAUUUACACCACCCUGCCUUUUUACUACCGCCGCAGAAACAACUAAAAAUAUUUAACUUGUUUGUUAAAAUAUUUAACGUGAUUUUGACAGUUCACCAGCUGUUUAAAAGUAGCUAAAAAGGAUGGCAUAGGCUGUUGCCGAGUUUAAUAAAUAUGUGUGCGUGUGAUGUUUGUUAUCUGAGAAGUACAUUUAGAUGUCUGCUUAGGUUAGCAUCACAUAUGCUAGAACACAUGUUCCUAUUCUGGUACACAUCUAUAAUUGUGCCCAUUUAUCUUAUUGUAGUUUAAAGUACUACCAGGAUAAAUAAAGACACUGUCUAUUUUGCUCUGAGAAAGAGAGAGACUGGGCUGUGUCAGCCGGUGAGAAAAUAAAGAAGGCUGGAGAUAAAAACUUUCUGGGGUGGGGAAAAUUAUUUACUUUUUAAAAGAAUGCCAUCAAAGACAUCUUUGCUGCAUAGAGAUUUUGUUAGAGUGAAGCAAUUCAGAGCUUCCACCACAUGGAUGGAGGGAAGAGAAGAGCGGCAGGAGCAGGGAGGCAUUCUGCCCGUGUCCUUUGUACUAUCUUCUCUAGGCAUUAAUUUUUGGUAUCUACUUAAACCAAAUGCUGCUGCAGGUGUCUGUCUCCUUAGAGAUGUGUCCCCCUGGUCCUCCAUCACCGUGCACCAGGGCAAGGAACGCUGCAGGAGCAGGGGAGUUAGGGCGGUUGGGAAUCCAGCACUGCAGCCAGGGGUUGUGAGAGCAAUGGUAAAUUAAAAAGGCUUUAGGAAAACUCUAAUUGCAGGGAUCUGUGUUGAGAGGCAGAGCGAGAAUCUCAGCCUGCUUUGAUGUUCAGGCCACAGAAGUCCCUGCGUCACAGAGGGGAGAGGCACUUUGCAGCUUGGAAUAAAGUGAUGCUCUGGGCAUGCAGUGAGCACCAGGAAUGGGAGGUGGGCAUGGAGCAACGUCAGCACUGAGGCAGGCACUGAAACCACCAUCACAACACCUGCUACAUGUGUGCAGUAGAAGCCAAAGGAGCUUGAUUCCAUUUGUGAUCCUAUUUGGAGUUUGAUUGUGUUUGCAGCCAUGGCUGCUCACAGAGCAGCCCAGCAGCAUGGGUUUUCCCAAGGGUGACCUUUCCUGCCCCUUGUUCCUGCAGAUGAGGUCCACGAAGGGAACUCUGGGGAGAUGAAUGAGGUGAUGAGUUCCCCUGGUUCUGCUGUGCCUGUGUGAAAUCAAGCAGAAAUGAGAACGAAGGGCGUUAGGGUCUGGCAACACAAGACGCCUUGUACUGAAGCAUCUCCUCUAAACCAAACCUUAGGAAGCUGCGUAAGUCUCAGCAGUGAGAAUGAUGCUGAGCAGCAUUAGUGGGACGUGCUUAAGGCAUUUUCAUGCCAGAACAGAUGAAGAAUGAAACAUUCAGGUUAUUUUCACUGCACACACAGUCAGCAUCGUGCAAGGCAGGAGCUGUCCUGGAGCACACCUUGUGCUCAAAGAAUGCUGAAGCUACUUUUUGUGCUCCUGAUGGAGCUUCACGCAGCCUGAGUUAUGCACAACUCCAGUAACACUGGGAAAAGCAAUCCCAGCCUGGAUUUUGAAUUCUUAGGUGCAGCAAGAGCUGGAAGCCUAAGGAACGCUACUAAACACCCAUGGGGUACAACUCAUCCCAGUGCACCAGGACUGCUGGAGGGCUUGCAAAUGGCAGGAGAGACAAUGAGGGCUCUAUCCUGCAAAAUGAAGAGCAGUGCCAAGAGCACUGUGAUCCAUGCACCAUUCCAGGACAAUGCACAUGAGAAGAUCGAGCCCUGGGCCACCAGCAGAGGUGGGGAUGAGGAUGGGGAUGCCGAUGGGGAUGGGGACGGAGAUAGAGAGAGGGAUGGGGAUGGAGAUGGAGAUGAUGGAGAUGGAGAUGGAGAUGGAGAUGGGGAUGGGGAUGGGGAUGGAGAAGAGGAGGGAGAAUAGAUAUAGAAGGGAUAUCAAUGGUGACGGCUGCUAGAGGCUCAUCUCCUUCCAACAAACAAUGCCAAUCUGAAGAAGAGAGGUGGGCAUACCGACCAUGUGGGUUUUAGGCAAACAGGAAGGCUUCCGGUGCACGCAGCUGUCCCCAAGGCUUGGUGAUGUUGCAGCCGGGCUGGAUUCACAGCACCGGCACCAGCUGGGGAUGGCACGUGUGACUCAAACACCCGGGAGGACAGGGGGAGGUGGGGAGAAGGGGGGAAUUGUGCCGUGUCCUGCUCUCAUGCCAAAAAUACAUGGAAAGAAACUGUAAACCCCCUGUUUUCAGAACAUAAAAAGGUUGUGAAAAUAGGACUCCAAGGGCUCUGCAAACGAUUAUGCUAAUGAGAUCCAGGGCUGUUCAAUAGCACUGAAGUGAUGCUCAGGAAUUUUGAACCACAGUUUUUAGUGUGAUUACGGAUCAUAUUAAAAUUCUAUUAGCCUUUGCUGAAGAUGUGAAUGAGUGCGACGGAAUUACGGGUCCACACUCCCACGAACCCAAACACUCACCAUGAGGUACGAUUUUCAGAAUGAAAAUACCCCAAUUUUCAGACAGAGGAAGGAGAAUGUGUCUGUAACAAUGCAGAAUGGAACUCCAGUCAGUGGAAUGUUCAGAGAUUGCCCGUUUUUCCACACGGGCCCAAGUUUUGAGUGGUGCCAUGAAACAAUAUUUGCAAUUGUUUUAGCCUUCCCGCAUGGUAUAAUUGAGACAAGCAGAAGAGAAAACUUUGUAGCAAAAUCUCUUUUUGUUUCUGCCUUGCAAAUGAUGAAUUGUUAAUGAGCACCUGUUACAAUGUUAAUGAAAGUAAGAUCUGUGUGUAAAUAAAGAAAAUUUAAUAACUUAACAAGGUGGAUUAAAAUUCCCAACCUGCUCCUUGCUAAUCUAAUGCCAAACACCAAAUAGUUGCUAUCUAAGCAGGAAACUGGUUAAUGUAUUCACCUCCGUGUACUUUUCAAACUAUAAUUAAUAUUUUAAAAAUUUAUAAAACCGAAAUCAUAGGUUUGAUUGUAACAAACAAAAUAUCUGCCUUUAAUCUACUACGAAAGGUUGGCACAAAUCCCCUUAAAUGAUACUAAAAUGUAAACCACACGGCAGCACUGAGGAAUUG